rnacentral:rRNA from 1 species
UACGUAGGGGACGAGCGUUGUCCGGAAUUACUGGGCGUAAAGGGCGCGCAGGCUGUAGAUCAAGUCAGCUGUGAAAUGUCUGGGCUUAACCCGGGCAUGCGGUUGAAACUGAUGUACUGGAGUGCUGUAGAGGCAAGUGGAAUUCCCAGUGUAGCGGUGAAAUGCGUAGAUAUUGGGAAGAACACCGGUGGCGAAGGCGACUUGCUGGGCAGCAACUGACGCUGAGGCGCGAAAGCGUGGGUAGCGAACAGGAUUA